AUGUGAGAACUCCUUCAAGACAGUUGGAAAAGUAUUCCAGGUGAAGCUGGUUGAGAGAAUGCCAAGACUGCAAAGGCAUCAAGGCAAAGGGUGGCUACUUUGAAGAAUCUAAAAUAUAAAAUAUAAUAGAGUUGUUUAAUUUAAUUAUCAUUUUUUGGUUACUACGUGAUUCCAUAUGUGUUAUUUCAUAGUUGGGAUGUCUUCACUAUUAUUCUACAAUGUAGAAAAUAGUAAAAUAAAGAAAAACCCUUGAAUGAGUAGGUGUGUCCAAACUUUUGACUGGUACCAGUUUUUUUAAACCAGAAAUAAUUUGACUAUGUGUAAAAUCCCUACCCCCACUAACGAUGGAAUGAGUAGGUCGAAACCCAGUUGGGUGGCUGGUACACCUCCGGAAGGCACAGCUGGCAUGGUUUGGUCAAUGGUGUGCCUAUAUUUUUGUUCAUGCAUUUGUUAAGUCACAGUGGUUGUCACACAUACAUACAUACAUACAUACAUACAUACAUACAUACAUACAUACAUACAUACAUACAUACAUACAUACAUACAUACAUACAUACAUACAUACAUACAUACAUACAUACAUACAUACAUACAUACAUACAUACAUACAUACAUACAUACAUACAAGUCAAGGUCACAAGUCAAAGUGCAAAUGUCUUUUGGAUGGGUCAGUAUGUUCCUUAGUCCUUGGGCGGCAGGACGUUGUUGUCAAAGUGUCCCUGGUUGGUGAUGUUCCCUGCUGGAAAGUACCUGGCUACCACGAAUGACGAGCCAUCUGGCGCACUGGCCUUCCCCACACCCAGCUUCUUACUGCCCUUCCACACCAUUGCUGUGAAAUGACCUGGUUAGAGAGAGAGAGAGACAAGCUAAACACCUUCACUGAAGGAAGCCCUCUGCAUACUGCUCCUCUAAAUAUUUACAGCUACAGAUCCCUAUAUUAAUCUCCUCCCCCCUCUCUCUUUCCCCUCUAUUGCACACUCCCAUCUCUCCCCCUCUCUCUUUCCCCUCUAUUGCACACUCCCAUCUCUCCCCCUGUCUUUCCUCCUUUAUCUGUCAGCAGCACAUUAGUUGAUAGGAGUGAUCCUGACGCUGCAGGGUCGGUCACACUGAGCAGGAGGCUUCGGGAAGAGAACAGGAAGGACAGAAAAGACUGGGAAUGCUAUAAAGAACUGAUUUUCCACAGGAUGCAGUGUCCAUGCAUGUUUAAACUCGGGCCAAAACCCCCAGAGUUCCAGCAGAGAUGACAGCGGCAAGGAAAUAUUAUCCAAGAUGGCAGCUGUCCAAGGCAACAGUGCUAACCGUAUAAAAGCUGCCAAAGCUUUAGGUGGGUCAGAAGAACACGGAGAGGUUUGAGAUCCCGAGUUUCAGAGGAGCAGUCCAGAGAGACAUGAACUGAGCUUGACCCAGUGAUAGUAUGUAUCCAUGGGAGACUGUUUAUGAAUCACAGCAGACUGUCAGGUCCGUGCACAGACAUAGUUGUGCUCGGAGUCAUGGUCUUGUUGCUGAAACACUCCGAACACAGAGCAGGGAAAUGGACCCCAGCUGUUCCUGCCGUUCCUGCCUGGGCCGCCACUGAACAGGAUAGUCUAUAGUUUAGACCCAACUAAACCCUACAGAGACUCUGGAUCGCUCUCUUUAAUGUUACUAUCUUUACCGUACACAGUGAAUAAUGUAUCUGUCCCCAUAACUAAACAUAUGUCAAUGUUUGGUCAUAGCAUUAGGAGUCAUUGGGUUACAGUGUGUGUACCUGGCUGGUCAUAGGAGGCCCAGGCCAGGUUCUCGCCACAGCUCCCCUUACUGGACUCAACACUGUGCUUCAGGAUCCGUGUGCUGGCCAGAGACUCAGCAUACCUACAGGGUGGAGAUAGUUGUGGUAAUAGUUAGAUAAAGACAGCUAAAAUAUGGGUGGGGUUAGGUGAAGUGGAAGGAAGUAAGGGUGUCGUUGGCCAUGUCUCUGAUAAAGGUGGUAGGUGGAGGAGAAGGCUAAGUGUGUGUGUGUGUGUGUGUGUGGGUUGGGGGCCCCGAUGUCUGGGUGACCCACCUAGUGGCAUCGCUACUCAGCUUGCUGCUCAGCUUCAGAGGGGGUGUCUGGUGCUUCCUACGAUACUCAUUAUGACUCCGCAACACCUCCUCUGAAAACUGCUUAGAAGCUGAGAGAGUGAGAGAGAGAAACACAAAACAAGAUGCCAUGAAAAAACUGAAGGUAAAUGUCUAUUGUUUCCAUUGUUUUCACUGUAAUAUACAAUCAAACUUUCAAAUCAUUAAUACAACUCAAUAAAACAAUAGGCUGCAGAUAACCAGACAGUAACUUAGGCAGUAGUACAUCUCCAGUAAGCCCCAUACAUAUGGCUGUUCCCCAGGCUUGAGUCUAUAAUACUAGACAGACAGUACCAGGGUAUGUAUGAAUGGGGGACAAAUCCACUCUCUCCCCAGCCUGGUGCCAAUCACAGCCAUACUCACACAUCUCCAUUCUCUCUGGCAUUCACACAAUGAGGCGAUUCUCUCUCACACACACACACACACACACACACACACACACACACACACACACACACACACACACACACACACACACACACACACACACACACACACACACACACACACACACACACACACAGUCUGUUACAGCCUUGUGAAUAAUCAGUGGUUGCAGUCCUUGUGGCUGGAUCCUUGACCCAGACUUAGCUUAUUCCUAAACUAAAUACCACUUUCAAAUGGAGGAUAAUGUGGUUCUGGAAACUGGCACCUAAAAUGUUCUGUCAAUCGAUCUUACACACACACCUUGCAAAUAGGGAAUUCCCCUACUUGCACAGCUAUUCCUGAUACUCUCAAUAGUGGUUUCAUCCUUACCACAGAAGGGAAGAAACUGACCUAGCGCAUAGGCGUUACAAGACUAAGUCAAUUACUUAAAAUCCACCCCUUUGUCCCUGUUGUAUGAUAACAGCCCAUUGUCACAAAUUGAGACCGAAUCUUCUUUUGUAAUCUCACACACACACACACACACACACACACACACACACACACACACACACACACACACACACACACACACACACACACACACACACACACACACACACACACACACACACACACACACACACACACUUUGAUAAACAUUCUCCACUUUCACACAGUCAUAUUCCAGUCCAUUUAAAUCUCAUGUAGUCUUACCUGAUUUGCCCAUGACACAGAAACUCUCUCUUGUUCCCUUUGGCUCAGUCCGCUCUCUGAUGGUCUGAAACAGCUGCUAUAACUUUGUUUCUGUCCCUCUCUCCCUCUCCCUUUCUGUAUUCCUAUUUUCUCCGUAGCCUUCGUUCCUCUCGCUCACACUUCUCCCUCUAGUAAACUAGUCUUUCUCAAAACUUCUGAUUCUGUCCUCUCUCACUCUUAAACACCCUGCCUUUUCUUUGGCCACACACACAUUAUCAUCCCUCUCCCCCUAUCCCUCUGUAACACACAGGCUCCCUCCCUCUGUGUAACUGAAAGGGGAGACCCAGCAUGGCUGUUCUGAUGACAUCAUCUCUAUGAGACACAUGCCCUUUUAUGGCCUGAGAUUCCUGCUUUCUGCUUGAAAUGUGAGCUGGACAUUAUACCCUAACUAAAUUAAGAGCAGUUUAACUGUUUAGAAGCACUUUUACACAGUUUUACUAGGGUGAGCCUAUGUGGCAUUGAUAUUAGUCAGAAAUAUGUAUUAUAGUGUCCAAAUUGACUACAAAGUGUAAAUAGUAGGAUCAUUCUGGUCAUAAAGUCAGUCUCGUCCAAAACUGAGAUUUUCGAGAACAUUUAAUUUAGAAAAAAGGAAGGGUACCAUAACAUUUUUCCUUGGGUUGGGUUUAUUUCAAUCCUGCCCACAGCUGGCAGCACCCAAGUAAUCAUCAAUUCGAAGUGCAGCUGCAUGUGACCCGAUUGUAAUACCCUUAGGCUAGGGUAUAGUUAGGGACCAUCAAUAAAAUUACACAAUGUACAUGUGACAAUAUUAAAAUAUUUAAAUAGCUCCAAAUUUCAAUGACUUAAAAACCUCAAACCAACUAUAAAUUGUAAACUCAUAUACAAAUAUUGAAAGCAGUUAAUGAGACAACUAAAAGGUGUGCCUUUAAUGUAUAUUUUGUCCUAGUUACAUUGUGUAAUUUAUAGACGGUCCCUAACUAGCCCCGGAGAUAGGCUAUCCAAAGUCUAACUCUGCCACUUGGGCACAACAGCCAGCUGAAGAUAAUUGGCAAAAGAAGUUGCCUAGGUGACUUCAAGACAUGGUUAGGCUGUUUUAUGUUAUCUAAAAGGGUGAAUGACUAACUGUUUUGGCAGAGUGAAUAUACAAACCCUUGUCACGUGCAAACACACACACAAGAGACCCACAUUAAAGUUUUGUUUCGUUUUC